AGUGAACGCUGGCGGUAGGCCUAACACAUGCAAGUCGAACGGCAGCACAGUAAGAGCUUGCUCUUACGGGUGGCGAGUGGCGGACGGGUGAGGAAUACAUCGGAAUCUACUUUUUCGUGGGGGAUAACGUAGGGAAACUUACGCUACUACCGCAUACGACCUACGGGUGAAAGCAGGGGAUCUUCGGACCUUGCGCGAUUGAAUGAGCCGAUGUCGGAUUAGCUAGUUGGCGGGGUAAAGGCCCACCAAGGCGACGAUCCGUAGCUGGACUGAGAGGAUGAUCAGCCACACUGGAACUGAGACACGGUCCAGACUCCUACGGGAGGCAGCAGUGGGGAAUAUUGGACAAUGGGCGCAAGCCUGAUCCAGCCAUACCGCGUGGGUGAAGAAGGCCUUCGGGUUGUAAAGCCCUUUUGUUGGGAAAGAAAAGCAGCAGGUUAAUACCCCGCUGUUCUGACGGUACCCAAAGAAUAAGCACCGGCUAACUUCGUG
rnacentral:rRNA from 1 species